rnacentral:lncRNA from 1 species
UAUUUCUCACCCUUCCUCUCUCUUUCUAGGGUUUUCAGUUUACAACCAAAGCCUCUGAUAACUUAUUUUCAGUUGACAGAUCACAAUUCAGAUCUAUCUUCUUCCUUCCAAGGUCUAUCCGCAACCAAUUGAUGAUCCGCAAAUCCACCAAAACACUUUCCAUUGAUCAGAAAUUCAAGAUCAAAUUCAUCCAUUACUCAAUUCCGGAGGCGGAGCUACAGCAACCACCGGUGGAGGCGGAGUAGCUACAGACACCGAUGACGGAACCAGAGGCGGUGGAGCUAGAUUUGAACUUGAACCAGAUGACGGCAGCGGCGGAGGAGGAUAGAGACCAGAAGGAUUGGAUGCAC